ensembl:misc_RNA 7SK 7SK RNA
GGAGAUGAGGGCAAUCUGGCUGUGACAUCUGUCACCCCAUUGAUCGCCAGGGUUGACUAGUUGAUCUGGCUGGCUAGGUGGGUGUCCCCUUCCUCCCUCACUGCUCCAUCUGCGUCCCUCCUGAAGCUGGGCGCUCGGUCGAAGAGGGCGGCCUUGCUUGAGUAGAGACGGACUGGUCUUUGGUAGAGGGUAUAUGAGUAGCUGCGCUCCCCUGUUAGAACCUCCAAACAAGCUCUAAUUGCAACACAAUCCUUCUACUAUGAAUCAGUCAAGCAGUGAAACUUUUUUCACUGUUACCAGUUUCAGCAUAUCCUACCAGAGAUGGU